rnacentral:lncRNA from 1 species
AAAUGGACUUUAAUCAGGCAGGCAAUACUUGAACUGUCACUUCUGAACCUCUUGAGCAAAUUUUAAGAGAACUGAUUUAUCUGCUUCCAAGUCAACUGAUCCUAACUAGUUGAAGCCGGUCUACUACCUCUCUGCAUCAUACAGUUGAUCGUGGGGAAACACACAUAUUUCUAGUUUCAGUAAUUUUCCUUUUGUAUCUUGCAUGCAGUCAUUCAGAAAGAGAUAGGAGUGCCUUCUACGCGUAGGGAGUUGGAACUUUAGAAGGAAUGAGGUUGACCUGAUAUGAAUACAUGGAUUGAAGACCUAAAAGCUAUGCGGCAAAAUACAUGCAACAAUCAAGAAGUUUGCAUUCUCUGUUAUUUGCUGAAGUCAAAUGGCUAUACCAUCCAUUUGAAUCCGAAUGGUGUAGUAGCGUUAAUCUUUUCUUCCUUGAAUUGUAUAUUUCGGUUUAAUACUAAAACAGAAAGAGACUAGCAGAACAGUGGCCAUGUGUUUGAGGACAUUUUCUGAGGCAGGCAGAGCAAAAACAACCCAAACGAUACUGCAAAUGAUCAUUUAAACUGUACUUCCUGAUCUUUCAUUCAUUAAGUAAGUUUGUUUAUAAUAGUGUCUUGUACUGUGAGGAUUUACUCCUGUGUAACAUAUAGUCAGAUUUAACCAUAUUUUUUCUUAUCAGCCAUUGUAGUGUCAGUAAUUGGGACUUGUUAUAGGAGGAGAUUAUGCUUUUCAGACUUCAUUGAGUUGCCUUCUAUAAUAACAAUCUGUCACACUCCCCCCCGGUUGUGUUUAGUGAACAAAAUUUACAGGGAUUGAAUUUGGUUGGUGGUUGAUUUUUGUUUAUGA